UGUUGUUGCUCUGAGAUCGAAGCAUUUCUUUGUAUUGUUAUUAUUAUAGCAGGCACCUAAUAGAUAGAUAGAUAGAUACGUAGGGAUAGGGUUAAGGCCAUGGAGCGCAUCAUCUGCGCCAAGUACAAGCUAGGUCGCAAGAUCGGAAGCGGAUCCUUCGGCGAAAUCUACCUCGCGACGAAUAUUGAUACCUUCGAGAUCGUCGCCGUCAAGAUCGAGAACGGUAAAACGAAGCAUCCACAAUUGCUUUACGAGGCCAAGCUCUACAAUAUUCUUCAAGGAGGAAGUGGCAUCCCGAACAUAAAAUGGUGCGGCGUAGACGGGGAGGAUAAUGUGCUUGUUAUGGACUUGCUGGGACCUAGUCUUGAGGAUCUUUUUGUCUACUGUGGAAGAAAGUUCUCCCUCAAAUCUGUGUUAAUGUUGGCCGAUCAAAUGAUGACUAGAAUAGAAUAUGUGCAUUCUAAAGGAUUCCUACACAGGGAUAUAAAACCUGACAACUUUCUCAUGGGACUUGGUCGGAAGGCAAACCAGGUUUAUAUAAUUGAUUUUGGGCUUGCAAAACGAUAUAGGGACUCCUCAACUAAUCGCCACAUCCCUUACAGGGAGAACAAAAACUUAACAGGGACUGCACGCUAUGCUAGUUGCAAUACUCAUCUUGGGAUUGAGCAAAGUCGACGGGAUGAUUUGGAGUCACUUGGGUAUGUGCUUUUGUACUUCCUUAGAGGAAGCCUUCCUUGGCAAAACCUAAAGGCUGCAACAAAGAAGCAAAAGUAUGAUAAAAUAUGUGAGAAGAAAGUAUCAACUCCUAUUGAGGUAUUAUGCAAAUCUCAUCCUGUAGAGUUUGCUUCAUACUUUCAUUACUGUCACUCUCUGACCUUUGAUCAGAGACCGGAUUAUGGAUUCUUGAAGCGCCUAUUUCGGGACCUAUUUGCUCGAGAAGGUUAUGAAUUUGAUUAUGUAUUUGAUUGGACUAUUUUAAAGUACCAGCAGGCACAAAAGAAUAGAGUCCAGUCUCGUAUAUCUACAGUCCCUGGAACAAGCAGUAGUCCUGCAAUGCCAAUGGAUGUAGACAACCAUCGAGGUAUUAAUGCUUAUUCAGGGGAUGUCACAGCAGAACGCAUUAAGUCAGGCAAUGUUACUGGUUCUGGUGUUAAAAUUCAGUUUAAAUCACCAGUUGGCAAAAAUUUGGGCUCUGAAAAGCCUCUGGACAAGAAUAUUUUUGGUGAAGCGAAUAUACCCUCUACCUCAUACUCUGUUGCUGGUACCUCAAGAAGGAACACCUUGAAGCCUGCCUUGUCCACUGAAGCUCCUAACCCUGGACAUGGGCAAGGUAGUAAUAAAAUUGGCCCUUCGAGUAGCUGGAUUUCAUCUGUGCAGCGCAUAUCUUCUGCCAAAUGAAUGCCCAAUAUGGUUUGAUUCUGAUCAAGAAGAUUCCUUGUAUACAUUCAUUAACCUGCAAAUUUGUGGUAUUUGCUUGCUUCAACUGUACAUUUUUGGUCAAGAAUUUUCAAGUGAUCUAUCCAGGGAGACUGCAAAUGGCUGCAAGGUUGAUAAAUUUCAAAGCUCAUCUUCUGAGACCAUCUUGUGUUGCUUUUUCCCUAAGGUAGCUCGAAUUUGACUAUCAGCCAGAUUAACUUGUAUUGUCAUUCUUGGGAUGAAUGAAAACCUGGUCUUAUUUCAGUGUAGUUCAAGGACUUCUUUUUUCAACCUAUAUUGUCUGAAGGAUGAAAUAUGACUGACAGUUGGUAUAUAUGGAUGCUAUUAUCAACUGGAACAUACCUCUCCAUACAGAUUGGGUUGUCAUAGCAUUCUGGGAGUCUUCAGCUUUGUGACAAAGCUUGAAAUGAGAAUUGCUUUUGAUAUGGAUGUUAGUUAGCAAAGAUGAUUCAAGAUCUGUGAUUCUAACCAACAUUUGUGUAAAGUUGACUAUUCAUUUUUCAGUUGAUGGACUUGAUCAGUGAUCAUUGAUUUUGUUGCUGGUUACAAGUGGGUCUCUCGAGGAAAAUUAUAGUAGAAAACAAUGCAUAUGAAGGAAGCUCAGUUUCAUAUAUUGAGAAACAUUUGGUUUUAACAGUGUCAAGAUGAAUAUUCUGAGUUCCUUUUCUGGAUAGACUAUAUACUUGGUGUUUAUUGGUUAGCAAGAUUACCCAUGACUUUCAUGGCCCAUGCCACUCACAUGCGUACAAGUUUAGUACAGUGAGAUCAGCAUCACAUGUUUUUACUAACAUGUAUACACUGUUUUGCAUUGUUGUCUAGCUACAGCCCAUGUCAGAUGGAUACAUGUAAUGGUGAACAGAAGCAUCACAAUGAAAGACCAAUGCUAUAGUAGAUAUUCCAAAUUCAAUUUCUUGAUUGGUAUGAAUGACAAACAAAAAGUCAUUUAAAACAUGAAUGUGAGGACUCUGGCACACACGUUAUCCUACAUUGCUUGAUGUUGGUGUUUCAAGCACAUCCAAAGCAUCAGGUGAAUGGAAAUUUUACUUGAAAGCUUGGAAAGCAGCAUCAUUGAGGUUCAGAUGGUUAUAAAUUCUGAAUUGCAUAAACGAAUACAGAUUGGUUUAACGGUUUUUGACGUAUGCUGACAUGUAAUUGCAUGAAGCACCUAUCUUCUUCACCUUUAAAGAUCCUUUGUGCCAACUAAUGAUCGUAAAAGAGUCUUAGAAGCAAGAAAAAUGACUGAGGCAUGAAAAGGAUUUCAUUCUCUUGGAUGCAACCUAGUCUUAUAUGUAGUUAAUUCUUAUCUAGUCUUUUUGAAUUAAAAGUUUUUAUGAUAAUUUUUUUCUUA